GUGGGGAAUAUUGGACAAUGGGCGCAAGCCUGAUCCAGCAAUGCCGCGUGGGUGAAGAAGGUCUUCGGAUCGUAAAGCCCUUUCGACAGGGACGAUGAUGACGGUACCUGUAGAAGAAGCCCCGGCUAACUUCGUGCCAGCAGCCGCGGUAAUACGAAGGGGGCUAGCGUUACUCGGAAUUACUGGGCGUAAAGGGCGCGUAGGCGGCUCUGUUAGUCAGGCGUGAAAUUCCUGGGCUUAACCUGGGGACUGCGCUUGAUGCUGCAGGGCUGGAGGCCGAGAGAGGGUGGUGGAAUUCCCAGUGUAGAGGUGAAAUUCGUAGAUAUUGGGAAGAACACCGGUGGCGAAGGCGACCACCUGGCUCGGUUCUGACGCUGAGGCGCGACAGCGUGGGGAGCAAACAGGAUUAGAUACCCCUGUAGUCC
rnacentral:rRNA from 1 species